rnacentral:miRNA from 1 species
UGUGUUGAAAGUUUAACAUGACGG